AAACAACUCUCAGCAACGGAUAUCUUUGGCUCCUGCAACGAUGAAGAACGCAGCGAAAUGCGAUACGUAGUGUGAAUUGCAGAAUUCCGCGAAUCAUCGAGUCUUUGAACGCAAGUUGCGCCCGAGACGAAAGUGUCGGGCAUUUCUGGCAGAGCGUCACCG
rnacentral:rRNA from 1 species